rnacentral:rRNA from 1 species
CCCUUAGAUGUUCUGGGCCGCACGCGCGCUACACUGAUGCAUUCAACGAGUCUAAAACCUGCUCUGAUAGGGGUGGGUAAUCUUUUGAAUGUGCAUCGUGAUUGGGAUAGAUGAUUGCAAUUUUUCAUCUUCAACGAGGAAUGCCUAGUAAACGCAAGUCAUCAGCUUGCAUUGAUUACGUCCCUGCCCUUUGUACACACCGCCCGUCGCUCCUACCGAUUGGGAAAAUUUUAGAGAGUCCUGGACUGAUGAUUGUUCGGCUUCACGGCCUUACUUUCGUCGGGAAAGAAUUCGAUAAUAUUUUUCUAGAGGAAGUAAAAGUCGUAACA